AACGGAGGGUGCGAGCGUUGUUCGGAAUUACUGGGCGUAAAGGGCGCGUAGGCGGUCUUGUAAGUCAGAUGUGAAAGCCCCGGGCUCAACCCGGGAAUAGCAUUUGAUACUGCGAGGCUUGAGUCCGGGAGAGGAUGGCGGAAUUCCCAGUGUAGAGGUGAAAUUCGUAGAUAUUGGGAAGAACACCGGUGGCGAAGGCGGCCAUCUGGACCGGUACUGACGCUGAGGCGCGAAAGCGUGGGGAGCAAACAGG
rnacentral:rRNA from 1 species